GCGUUCGGGUAAUCGCUGCAUGUUUACUACAUGUAGAGGAAAGUCCAUGCUCGCACAGGCUGAGAUGCUUGUAGUGUUCGUGCCUAGUGAAUUCAUAAGCUAGGGCAGCCAAUUAUUUGGCUGACGGCAGGGAAAAAGCCUAAGUCCUAUGGAUAUGGCUUGAAUACUUUGAAAGUGCCACAGUGACGAAGUCCUACUAGAAAUGGUAGGAGUGGAACGAGGUAAACCCCACGAGCGAGAAACCCAAAUAAUGGUAGGGGAGCGUUCCCUAAGGAAUAAUGAACGAUGGGAACGACAGAUCAUUCAUCUGUAGAUAGAUGAUUACCACCUGAGUACGAGACUUAGUCGGUCGUUUGCAGUACGACGGAACAAAACAUGGCUUACAGAA
rnacentral:RNase_P_RNA from 1 species